UUGGAGGUUGAAGGAAAACUUGAUGACAUCAAUGCGUAUUUGAAUCCUACCAUUCAUAUACAUUCCAGUCAAGACAGCAACCCAACACCUCCAGUGCAGCCACCAUCUCAUGCUCGGCGUUGGACACAGGGGCAAGGAAAUGGCUCAGAAAAUGGGCAGAAAAAGGGGAUGUGGUCCCCUAAAAGGCUUGAAGGCAAU